ensembl:lncRNA
AUGCACAGGAAAAGGUCUAGAAGAAUCCAGGCUAAAUUGGCCACAGCAGCUUCUGGCCUUCUGGGAGACUCCAGGAGUGGAAGGGAUUUAGUAGGGAGGCAAGGGAAUGUUCAAUUUCAGUAUUUUAAAAUAAAGAUUCUACAUUUACUUAGUGCUUGGGUACUUCAAAACAGAUGGAGUUUAUUUCUUUUCUCAAAUGUGAACUUCGUCUGCAAUCAACCGAUGGCCAAAGAGCUACCAGAAUCACAGGAUCUGCGUGUGGAGUUAGUCCACCAGCCAGCUCAGUUUUACCAUCAGGUGAGAAUGAGGCAGGGAGGCAAGGUGGCUGGAAGCCCCAGGAUCCAGUUACUCAACUGCACAGGAAGCACCUCCCCCCACCGCGCCCCCACACAGCUAUGUCACUGUGUGCCAGUGUGGUGCCAAGAGGAGAGGGCAAUGGCAUGUUAGGGCAGAAAGGUUCUCUCCAGGACCCAUCUGCCCACCCAUCCAGGCUCCAGGGGAGGAACAAGGAGCUCAGGUAUGAGGUGUUAAGGACAGUGAACUGCAGCCAAGUAAAGACCUUCCCAACAGUCCCAGGUAGGAUUAGCGGGAACAUCACUCAGAGACAGUUCUCAGGCUGAUGCCCACCUCUCCAGUCUUGCUGCUCCCAAAUGCAUGGGCUGCCUUGGGAGGGAGGGAGCCACCGUCUUGAAUGAAAAGGCAUAAUCCCGUUUUGGUGAGAAUGCAGUAGGGGGUGGCUGUCAUCAGAUAGUCCCUGGAUCUCAUCCUGUCUCUGACCCUUCCUGGCUGGAUAGCCCUAGGCAAGUUUUUCAGACUUUCUGUGCCUCAUCUGUAAAGUGGAAACAGGAUGCAAAGCCCUUAAGAUUUUGUGAUGAUGAAAUGAAAAUACAAAUAAAUUAACAUGGCCCUGUUGCAGGGUGAAAGUGAAAGUGGAGCCUCUCAGUCGUGUCCGACUCUUAGUGACCCCAUGAACUGCAGCCUACCAGNNNNNNNNNNNNNNGGGAUCUUCCAGGCAAGAGUACUGGAGUGGGGUGCCAUUGCCUUCUCCGCUUGUCACUGCCAGGCACUGUUAAUUCAGGAAAUGGUCACUACCAUUGCCUCAUUACUAUUAUUAUUCACAGCUGAAGAUGCUGAAGUGCUACCUUUGGGAGUCUCAGAAACUUCCUCAGGGUUGAGGCUAGGAUAGCACUCUUUACUGCACUGGUUCUUCCAAGAGUAAAGCAAGAUGAUCUCUAGGUGUGUAGAUGUUUUGUGUCCUGCAAAGCGAGACUCUCUGGAGUGACUCUCCCAUGGCUACAUCUGUACCCCAGGCUGCUGUGGCCUUAUCUAGUCCGCGUGGGCCGGUGGGUUCAGGGUGGGGCCGUGUGUCCGAGGACCAUUGUGGAGGCCUGGACAGAUGGGGUAACUGAGUUUAUAGAUGAAUAUAGGAAUUUGCAGGCCACAGGGCAAGAUUAGAAUCUCUGCAGUAGGAUGCAGGCAGCCCCUAGUUUCUACCUCUUGCUGGUCCCUGACCCUCUCAGGGGAAUAGGGUGGGUCACACCAAACACACAUAGUCACAUAACCCAGGGCAGACAGGUGUACACGCGCCCCUCCCAGGCACAUUCGUCCAAACCGGCCCGCCACGGGACACACAGCUGGCCCUCCACCGGCAAGGGUGCAAGCACACGCACCGAGAGCUCUCCCAACUAUACUCACGACUGUAGGACGGAUACCAACAAGGCCACACGCUCAGUCU